CCUACGGGUGGCAGCAGUGGGGAAUAUUGCACAAUGGGGGAAACCCUGAUGCAGCGACGCCGCGUGAGUGAAGAAGUAAUUCGUUAUGUAAAGCUCUAUCAGCAGGGAAGAAAAUGACGGUACCUGAGUAAGAAGCCCCGGCUAACUACGUGCCAGCAGCCGCGGUAAUACGUAGGGGGCAAGCGUUAUCCGGAUUUACUGGGUGGAAAGGGAGCGGAGACGGCAGUGCAAGUCUGGAGGGAAAGGCGGGGGCUCAACCCCCGGACUGCUCUGGAAACUGUACGGCUGGAGUGCAGGAGAGGUAAGUGGAAUUCCUAGUGUAGCGGUGAAAUGCGUAGAUAUUAGGAGGAACACCAGUGGCGAAGGCGGCUUACUGGACUGUAACUGACGUUGAGGCUCGAAAGCGUGGGGAGCAAACAGGAUUAGAUACCCUAGUAGUC
rnacentral:rRNA from 1 species